CUUCACUUCCUGGCCUGUGCAAGUCAGUGCACACUCAUUUCUAGAAGGAUAUCCCUUGACUUCCAGGUAGCCACAGGUGCUCUGCCAAGGGACUGGCAGCAACACGGCCUUAUAGAAAGAGGCAGGACUUGGAAGCCACACCGAGAAAUGAUACCACCGAAAUCAGUGUUUGUGAUUCCUGCAGAUAUGCCUUCCCUGAGUUUAUAUUUAAUGCCACAGUUGAAGAUGUGUCAUGUUACCUGUGGAUUCUUAUAUGAGCAUCAAGGGGAUGAAUCUUUUGAACUUGCCUCUUUGCAACUGCUUCUAGGUUCUUUAAAACCCAGGGGGCUUCUGUGUGUGCAGUGUAACACUCAUUACAACUUCCAGUAAAACCGAUGCUCAAUUUAUCAAUUUUAUA